AGGGAGAUGAAAAUAUUUUGUUUGUUCAACUGUGGCUGCUGAAUAGGGUUAGGAAGACUUCUAUUGACCCAACUGGGAAGAAGAUCCCAAGACUUAUAACCGUCUAACUUUGGUCACUGAUGAAUAUAUUGAACAGGACUGGACCCCACACAGAUCCCUUGGGAACACCACUAGUGAGAGGCCUCCAUCCAGACUCUGCUUCAUUGAUCACAACCUUCUGAGUUCUGUUGUUGAGCCAGUUCUCCAUCCACCUCAUUGUCCACUCAUCCAACCCACACUUCCUUAUCUUGCCUGUAAGGGUGCUAUGGGAGACAGCGUCGAAUGCCCUACUGAAGUCAAGAGAGACAACAUUCUCUGCUCUCCCUUCAUUGACCCAGCCAGUCACACAAUCACGCGUUUGUUUAUGUGACAAGCUUCAGAUGUAAAUGACCUCAUUGAUCUAACAGUCACUAUAAAAAACCCUGUCUCUGAGGUCAAGAGGACACUUCCAUGUUGAUGGACAGUGGAUUUCUUCUGAUUAGAAAGUUCCCAAAAGUCCUGAAAUGCUAUCAUCAUCAUCAUCACCAAGAUAACAAUAAACAUUUGUUGGAGACCAGAAUUACUUCAAGAGGCUUAAUUUUGCAAUAAUAAUAUGUGUCCACGUUUCGAGAAAUUAAGUGUGAAGACCAGCCCACAGAAUUGUUGAUCUCAUGAAUUUACAAUACUAAUUCAGUGCAUGCACAAAUCAAAUGUUAAAAAAUAUCAGCAGUUUUAUUCUGUUAUUUUUCUAUGGCAUGAUUUGCAUGAUGAAGAAUAGAUUUUAGAGGCUUGUUGGGAGCUGCUAACAAAAGGUGUAGCUGAAAAACUGUAUCUAGUUUGUAAAAUAAAAUACUUUUCCACAAGUAAUCUGUGAGGAAGCUUUCUCUUUAUCUUCCUUGCACAGAUAUUAAAAACACAGUAGAGUACUUUAUAAGCUUGAUGCUCAUUUACUCCAUACUGUGUAUUUUUCUUUUUAAAAUUUUAGACUGAAAGUAUGGGCAUUCUGAUUCAUUCAGGGUUGGUAUCAUAGGUCUUCAAAUGGCCUGUGGGGAAAGAGAACUUGCCAUGGUUUUGGUGCAUUUCUUCUUUCAGCUCAAAGAUGUUAUAAUUAUAGGGACAAAUAUAUUCACUUGAUGAUUUUUUAUAGUGUAUAUGCUACACAUAAUUUGAGUGAGUUGACAUUGCCAUGAAGGAAGUUUCUUGCAACAGAGUAUCACUGUAUAGAAAAGUGGAACUUGUAACUGCUACUAUUGUGCAAUAGCAACAAAAAUAUGCUCUAAAAAUAUGCUCUGUGAAAUAGCAUUGGAAGUGUGAGUGGUCUGUUUUAUUACAAAAUGCCUUAAAAAUAUUAAAUGGUUUAUACUAACUUUGUAGAUUUUAAGAACAUUCCUUUUUUUUAUUUUGCCUGCUGAAGUUAUUUACUCCCUACAUUUAUAUUAUCAAUUAAUAAAGCAAAUA